CCGUCACCCUUCCCUCCCACUAUCACUACCAUUAAGACCCUGGCUCAAAGUCUUUUCUGUUCAAAAAACUGAAUGCAGUUGGAGAAAAACAGACCACAAGGGAGAAAGAAUUUAUUUAAAUUUAGGAACACUCACCUCAAGGGAACCCUGGAUACUGAUCAUGACCUUAGUGGGCUCACUGGCUCAUCCUCCCUGAAACCAUUCUACAUAGUUUUGAAUCUCCCAAGAACCCCUCCAAACACCUCUGUUCCUCACUCUUCAUUUGUAUGAUGGUUAAUUGUAUGGGUCAACUAAGGAAUCCCCAGAUACCAGGCAAAACAGAAUUUCAGAUUGUGUUUAUAAGGGUGCUUCUUGAAGAAGUUAGCAUUUGAAUUAAUAGAAUGAGUAAAGAAGACAUACCCUCACCAUUAUGGGUGCACAUCAACCAGUCCAUUAAGGGUCUGAAUACAACAAAACAACAACAACAAAAGUGGAGGAAGGGCAAAUACUUUCUCUAUUUAACUGGGACUUCCAUCUUCUUCUAUCAUUGUACAUCAGCAUUUCUGGGUCUUGGUCUGUUGGUUUUCUUUUUCAAGUCUUUGGACUGCUACAGAAUUAUACCAUCAGCUUUCCAGUUUGCAAAAGGCAGAUCAUGGGAUUUUUCAGCCUCUAUAAAUAUAUGAGUCAAUUCCCAUGAUAAAUCAAUCUGUGUCUAAUCCCCUUCCCCAAAACAUAAACAUACAUAGUCAUUCCUCAGUGUUUGAAAGGGGUUGGUUCUCAGACCCCCAAGGAUAUCAUAAUCUGUAAACACUUAAGUCCUUGGUGUAGUACUUGCAUAGGGCGUAAUGCUUAAAUCAUCACUAGAUUAUUUAUAAUAUCUAAUACAAUGUAAAUGACACAUAAAUGGUUGUUGUGAAAUUAAAUCAUUUAGGAAAUAAUGGGGGGGAGAGAAGUCGUAUGUUCAGUGAAAACUUGCCUUUUUUUUAAUCCACAGUUCUUUGAAACCAUGAAUGUGGAACUCAACGUUAAGAGGUACAACUGGGCUCUGUGUGUGUGUGUGUGUGUGUGUUGUGUGUGUGUGUGUGUGUGUGUGUAUUACUCUGUUCUGUUUCUCUGGAGAACAAUGACUAAUGUUCCCAAUAUAUUAUCUUAUUUUUUAUCAUCAUUUUUGUGGAGAUUUAAGUAUAGGUGCUCUUUAACUAAGGUUGGAGUUAUUUCACAAUCAAUCCAUUGUAAGUUAAAAAUAUGAUAAGGAAAAAAUGUAUUUACUAUACCUAGUCCCCUGAACUUCCUAGAUUAGCACCACAGUGCUCUGUAGCUUUGAUUGUUUUCCACAUGAUCACAGGGCCAACUGGAGCUGCAGCUGCUGCACUAUUCAGCAUUCUGAUAGAGUCUUGUAUGGCACAUUACUAGUCUGGGAAAAGGUCAAAAUUCAAAAUUCAGAGUACAGUUUCUACCGCAUAGAUGUUGCUUUUACACCAUCAUAAAGUUCAAAAAUCAUGUCAAAUCAGCAUAAAGUUCAGGACCAUUCAUAACUAAAAAGCCUUUUCAUCAUCUCUCCCAACCUCUCAGCUGACUAUCUGUGUGCCUAUAAGCCUGCCUUUCACCUUGUUAAAGAGGAACUGGGGCUGGCAUUGUGGCUCAGUGGCAGAGCGCUUGCUUACCAUGUGUGAAGCACUGGGUUCAAUUCUUAGCACCACAUACAAAUAAAUAAAUAAAUAAGCACAUAAAUAAAUAAAGGUCUAUCAACAACUAAUAGAAUAUUUUUUUAAAAAAAGGAGGAUUAGAGCUCCCUGCUUCUAAGGCCCACCUCUCUCCAACCCAGGGCUUUAUUCCUGCAGCUCCCUCUGCUCCACCUCCAUCAUCACAUUUUUCCCUUGUAUUAGAUUAUUAUAAUGAACAAACCAAUAUGCUGGAACAGAUUUCAUCUCCAAGGCCCUCUCAGGUCCCCAUUGUCACUGAUGUCUUGGUCCUUUCCUCCUUCUUUU
rnacentral:lncRNA from 1 species